rnacentral:rRNA from 1 species
AUUGAACGCUGGCGGCAGGCCUAACACAUGCAAGUCGAGCGAGCGGCGGACGGGUGAGUAAUGUAUGGGGAUCUGCCCGAUAGAGGGGGCUGACUACUGGAAACGGUGGCUAAUGCCGCAUACUAUCGGUUGAACCCAUGCUGGAUUAGCUAGUAGGUGGGGUAAAGGCUCACCUAGGCGACGAUCUCUAGCUGGUCUGAGAGGAUGAUCAGCCACACUGGGACUGAGACACGGCCCAGACUCCUACGGGAGGCAGCAGUGGGGAAUAUUGCACAAUGGGCGAAAGCCUGAUGCAGCCAUGCCGCGUGUAUGAAGAAGGUCUUAGGGUUGUAAAGUACUUUCAGUGGGGAAGCGGUACCCGCAGAAGAAGCACCGGCUAACUCCGUGCCAGCAGCCGCGGUAAUUC